CGCCGCCGCCGCUCCGUGUCAGUUGCGGGCCGGUAAUGGCGGCGCGGAGCGGCCGCUGACGGGCCGCGCACCGCGCUCGGGCCGCCCUCCCUCCGCCCGCCCUCCGCGGCAUGUGCCGCCACCUGCCGCCGGCGCAGCGGCCGUCCACCAGGUAAAUUGACACGAUGUGGAGCAACAAGUCUAAUGAGGUGCCUCUACAAAAUCCAAGGCAUAACCAAAGCAAGGAUUCUACCAGAGAUCUAACUGCAGCAUGGGCUUCUUUUUCUCAGACUAAGGCUGCUCUACGUCAUAUAGAGAACAAAUUGGAAAUAGCUCCCAGCAGCACGGCUGUGUUCGAUUCAGUCAUGGAUGCCAAGAAGCCCUCUGCUAGUGCCAGCAGGAAGAGCAGCAGGAAGGGUUCCCGCUCCUCCAGCCAAAAUAAAUCAAGCAAGGAGAAGUCCUCACGCAGCCCUCUUCGAGCAACCACUCUGGAAAGCAAUGUGAAAAAAUGCAGUCGUGUGGAAUUCCGUGAGCCAUUGGCUUCAUACAGUUCUAGCCAGCUUGAGGCCAAGCAGCUGCUAUCUAGCUUGGAGCUGAGUGAAGCAGAAGGGAAGAGUGAACUCCCAGGCUGCCUGGCACACGAGCGGGACGAGCGGGACCGGCACAGCAGAGCCCUCGACAGCCCCUUCCCUUCUGCUGCAGACCAGACCAUCGUGAGGUACCUCAAUGACCGGCCAACAAUCAACGCCCUGCACACUAACGAGCCAUUUCCUAGGCUUGCAGCACUUUCAAGACUGGAAGAAGAAAAAAACAGUGGCUCCAGGGGGGAUGAAAGUAGCUCUAGAGCUUCUCAGAGUAUCACAUCCCAGGACAGUGAACUGAAAGUGUCUUCCCCUUCUGCCACGAGUAUCUGCAGUGCUCACAGGCUGGAAAUCCUGAAGCAGCGGCAGCACGAUGCCAAGUUGGAGAAGCUGAAGGAGAGGAUCCGGAAGCAGUGGGAGCAUUCUGAGGAGCUCAGUGGCAGAGGGCAGCACGUGGGGUAUGCUGAGCAACCUGUUGUGGUCACUAACGUGGAGAACACGGUGACUCCCAAGGUCAGGAAGGUGACAGCCGUGCCUGCUGCUCCAUCAUACAGAGGUUUCAAUCCUGCUGAAACAAGGAUUCGCACUCCAGAUGGAAAGAUCUGGCAUGCAGACGAGUUUCGUAUCGGUCGGGAGCUUUACAGAGAUAUUGCACUCCAGUUAAAAGAGGAUUCAACAGUGAAAGGAAAAUCCAGUGAGAGAAACAAAGAGAAGAAAGCUACAAGACCAGUGCGGAAGGUGCAAAAACUGACACGAUUGUCAAGUCCAGAGUCCAAACAAGGUGGAAACUAUGUGAUAAGUGCAUCGUCCUGGCGGGAGGGACAAAAGCUGGUAAAAAAGAUCCUGGGUCCAGCUCCCAGAAUAGAACAGGACAGGAGAGCUGUAUCCAGUGACAGAACAGGCCGAGACAGAGCUGCCAAGUCUGCAGGCUGCAUUGGAAGGACAGGUUCUGAUUCUAGACUGGAUGUUACACGUAAAAGCUCUUCAAGAAGUUCUGAAAGGUCAAGAAGUAAAGUUAGGUCUGAGACCAAUGUGAGAAAACUGGAAGCUGCUCUUCCAGAUGAUAACCAAGAAGAUCAUGCCUCUGUAAACAAGGAUUUCCUGCCCGUGGAGAUACGUGGAAUUCUUGAUGACCUGCAGUUGGAUUCCAUGAGUACAAAGCAAGAGACAGAUGCGGAAAAACAGAAUCAAAAAUGUGUUUUGCCUGCUCAAACUCAGAGGAGCCACAGUCCAACCAAAAGGAAACCAGACAAGGUAGCAGCCGGUGAGGAGCCUCAGGUGAUCUCUAAGAAACGCCACUACGACAGCGAUGAGGUUCGGCAGUACAUCAUCAGGCAGCAGGAGGAGAGGAGGAAGAAGCAGAAUGAAGAGAAGAAAGCACAAAAGGAGGCAACAGAACAGAAGAACAAAAGGCUCCAAGAGCUCUACAGAAAGCAGAAGGAGGCUGUUACUAAAGUGAAGAAUGUGCCUCCUCCUGAGCCUUCAGCAGCCAAACGGUUACAGGAAACCUAUUCCAAAUUCUUGCUGGAGCAAACACUUUUAGAAGAGCCACCUCAGCUGCCUACUGUGCAGGAAACACAGCCCAGACCUGGUUAUCAACCAUCUGGGGAAUCUGACAAAGAAAACAAGGCUCAAGAGCGUCCUCCGAGUGCAUCUUCCAGCAGUGACAUGUCCCUUUCAGAACCACAGCUGCCACUACUGAGGAGCGAUCUGAUGGAGCCUCCAUGGGUGCAGCCAGACAGGUUGAGCCCAAGAGUGCAGCUCCCCCACCCACAAGCUCUCUUGGGCUCAAGUGCAGGCCCUUGUUCCCAGCCCUGGAGUCUGGAGCAGAUGGACCUUCUGUCAAAGGAGUGUGAUGCCAUGUUGGCAGGCAGGAGGAGCCAUUCUGCCCCUGUGGGGUCCCUGAUGCCUCAGUUGUACCUGAAUUCAGCUGCUGCACAGGAAAACCUCUUGGUAAAACCUUCUGCCAGCCAGUAUAAGAGCAAAUUAGAUCGCCUUGAAGCUUUGAAAGCUACAGCUGCUUCCCUUUCUAGCAGGAUUGAAACUGAAGCCAAAAAGUUGGCUGGUGCUGGUAUCAACUAUGGAACCACGUGGAAUUCAGAAUUUGUGCAAGAAAACCAGGAUGAGGGACGGUGGGCAAAGGCUGUGAGCCCUCCUGUGAGGGAGGAAAAUGAAAAUACUUUUUCAGCCAGAAUUCAAAGGAUGUUGGGUGCUUGUGUGUCUCAUACAACCUUUGAUGACAGCCUUCCUGGGGUAGGCAACCUUAGUGAGUUUAAAAAGCUCCCUGAGACCAUCAGACCUCUUACUGAUGUAAUCAGCCUUGGAUUGAGGUCUCCUGCUGCCAACAGGCAUGAAGGGAUCCUGGGACACUUAUCCAAGAGGCAGAUGGACUCCCCAGGGCGUGAGAACCAGGCAUGUCCUCUGAGCAAAGCUGCUACUCCUCACGAGUCCAGCAUUGACUCCAUCAGUGAAGGGCCUCUCCUGAGUGAUGAAAACCUCUCUGAAGAGGAAGGAGACCAGCACAAGCAGCUGCCACUGAAGAUGUUGGAGACAUUAAAAGAGAAGGAUUUCUGCAUUCGGGAGAGAAAUGCUUUUGAGCCUAUAAAGGAGUUUCAGAAAGCAGCUGAGAGGUACUCACCACUUUUCACUCAGACAAAUGACGCACACAGCAAGGGGCCCUGGGAGGAGCUGGCCAAGGGAAGUCCCCACAGUGUCAUCAACAUCUUUGCAAAGAAUUACCAACUUCAUGGAAAAGUGUUUGAAGAAAGGCUGAACGGAGGCUCUGCCCCGCUGCGCCCUCUGCUCCCUGCCAUGAGCCCUCCGGAGAGCGUGGCUUCUUACGAGGAUGACUUUGCCUCAUCUCAGGGAAGCAGCACUUUAACAGACAAGAAGAUUUCACGUGACCUCAGCGUUGGUGGCAGCAGUAAUUCAAGCAUUCAGGAGGAAAUUCCCAGUAGGAAGUCUCCCCUUGAGGCUCGCUCUGUGGAGCUUGGUUCUCAGCACUCGUCUGCGCCCCGCUCUGCAGCGUCUUCCCGCUCCUCUGCUUCCUCCAAAAAGAGGGGGAAAAAGGAAAGGUUGGAUGCUUUCAAUGGAAGCUCUCACCACUUUUCUGUGGAAGAAGAUAAAAUACUGUCUGAAUUAGAGAGGGGAUCCCAGCAGGCUAAGAAAUCCUUAUUGAGUAGCAGAAUUUCUAAUAAAGAGCAUGAGCAGAACCCAGAUACAGACAGCACACUGGAAAACUUGUCUGGACACUCCCUGAUGAGUUUCUCAGACAAAGGAAGACCCCAGAAGACACCAACUUCUUCCCCAUCUUCUGGCUCACAGAAAGUGUUGCAGUUGGAUUCUGUAGGCAAUACAGCAGAAAGAGUCAAGUCACCUGCUGGCUUUUCUGGAGGUCCAGCCCCAGGGCUGAAGGCAAACGUGGCCUUCCCUGACACGGGCCUGGGAAGCAGCAGGUCUGCAGCAGGAGCAGCCUCAGUGAGCGGGUGCAUGCGCUUCUCCCCCGCGGGGCUGCAGCACCGGCUGUCAGCAGAGCUGAGCUACCUGAGCGCUCUCGAGGAGUCCGUGCGGCAGCUCUCGGACCUGGAGCGGGUACGAGGCAUUUCCCUUGCCCAGCAGGAGAGUGUUUCUUUGGCUCAGAUUCUCAAGGCACAGCAGCAGCGCCAUGAGCGGGACUUGGCUCUUUGGAAAAUCAAGGCUGAACAAGAAGCUCUAGAAUGUCAGAGACAACUAGAAGAGGCAAGGCAGAAGGCAGCUCAGGUCCAUGCAGAGUCUCUGCAGCAGCUGGUGCAGUCCCGGCAGGAGGCUGGGCAGGAGCCCCCAUGCAAGGCUGCAGCCAAACAGGCAGAACCUGCACUGCUCUCUACAGAUGCAACUCACCAGCUCCGUGAGGUGACGGGGUUGGCACGGGACACUGUCAGUGCCCCAGCUGCUCCAGGCUCCGCCUUGCCUGACCACCAGCGGCAGCACCACUCAGAGUUCAUGAAGCAGCUCAGGGCCCGAGCUGAUACAAACAGGAAAUGUGAGUCUGGUGCCAUAUCACAAGGUAAAGAGGAGACAGGUGACUCAAAACAGAUGUACUCACCAAUGUUUGAUAGUUACUCUGAGUCCUCGAGAUCAAAGGUUCAUGAUCAGAGUAGUACCAGCAGCCGCCAGGAGAGCCCUUCAGUUCCGUCUUCUAAGGAGAAUGAGAAAAAACCUUCUCGUCAUGAGAAGACAGCCAGCAGUAUUGAAGAGCAGGCUCAGACUGCUGCAGAUGAUUCCCUGCCCAGUGACAGUGUUUUGUCCCUGCCAGAUGAAAAAGAUUCCGCUUCUGUUGCAACAGAGUAUUCCCUGAAAUUUGAUGAGUCCAUGACAGAGGAUGAGAUUGAAGAAAAAUCUUUUCGGUCUUUGCUGCCCUCUGAGAGUCAUCGCAGAAAUAAUCUGGAGAAGAAGAGGGGCAGUCGUGAUGAUUCUGAUGAGGAAGUGUCCCCAGACAAAACAGCUCUGUCAUCUAUCAAGGAGCUAAGCAUGCCGUUCUCAGGGGGGCAAGACAGUUUCUCUAAGUUUACCAUGGAGAUGGUAAGGCAGUACAUGAAGGAGGAGGAAAUGCGAGCAGCUCAUCAGUCCUCACUCCUCCGGCUCCGGGAGAAGGCUCUCAAAGAGAAGACCAAGGCUGAGCUGGCAUGGCUGGAACACCAGAAGAAGCAUUUGCGAGACAAGGGAGAGGAUGAUAAGAUGCCUCCUAUUCGAAAGAGGCAGCGUGGUCUGCUGCUGAGAUUACAGCAGGAAAAGGCAGAAAUCAAACGUCUCCAGGAGGCAAACAAGGCUGCUCGGAAGGAGAGGCAGCUCAUCCUUAAACAGCAGGCGGAGAUCGAGCGAAUCCGUCACACUACGAUGAAGCUGCAGGAAAAGCUGAAAUCUGCAGGAGAAAACAAGCUGGAGCUUCCCAGUGAGGAUGAGAUCAAGCAGAGCAAUGGUUCCAGCCCUCUUCCAACUGAUGCAGAAACACGCAGCCCUUCCCCAAUCUCCAUCUCCAGCAGUGAGACCAGCAGCAUUAUGCAGAAACUUAAAAAAAUGCGCAGCAGAAUGGAUGAAAAACACUGCUCUCCUGUUCACUACUUCUUCUCUGUCUUUACGUCUCACCACUGGGCCUCUCUCAGUGUCUGUUUUCCCAACCUCCACCCCAAAUUCCAGCUGUAUAUCUACAACCAAUUGGUCAGGUUCCUGACCAAGCGGGAGCAGAAGCUGAUGCAGCGCCGGCAGCACGCGGAGGAGCUGCUGGAGUGGAAACGGCGCCUGGACGCCGAGGAGGCCGAAAUACGGAGGAUGGAAAAGCAGGCUCUGGCUGCCUGGGACAAAGAGCUGCUCAAAACCAAGAUGGCCAAGAAAGAGCUGGGGGAUCAGAGAGCUGAGCCCAAAGAAACAGCUAGUGAGGAAGAGUCUCCAGUGCCUUCUUGCUCUCAUCUGAAUAGUGAAAGCUCUAUCCCAGAAGAUCUUGGCAGUCUGGCUGCUGAGUCUGUCCCAUCAGAGCCCAUGGGCCAUGGACAGCCAGAAAGCCCAGAUCAGAGUACAAUUAAUGAAGAAAUGGCUUAUUCUGAAGAUUUCAAAUCCUCUGCAUCACCUGGCAAACUGUCUCCUCCCAAAAGCAGCAUAUCUGUAUCAAAGCAAGACUCCAGCAAAGGCAGCCACAGAACUGGAGGACAGCUGCAUUCACCUGUGAAGUCCCACCAGACAUCUCACAACUGGUCUGAUGAAUCUUUAUCUAUGACACAGUCAGAAACCACCUCUGAUCAAAGUGACAUCGAAGGACGCAUCAGGGCCCUGAAGGAUGAGCUACGGAAAAGGAAAUCUGUGGUGUACCAGCUGAAAAAGGAGCAGAAAAAGAGACAAAAGGAGAGACUGAAGGCCCAGGAAGCCAGUUUGAUCAAACAACUAGAGUCAUAUGACGAGUUUAUCAAGAAGACUGAAGCGGAGCUGAGCCAAGAUCUGGAAUCAUCACCAACAGCCAAACCUCAGAUCAAAACUCCAUCCUCAGCUGCUGCUGAAAAACCUAAGAUCAAGGCACCACCACUCCAUAGGCCUGAGACAGCUAAAAACUGGAAAUCACUGACUGAGUCAGAGAGAUCCAGAACAUCUUUGGAAUCUGUUUCAGAACAUGCAGAUGCUGUGUCAUCAAGAACCGAGAGAUCUGUGUCUGUGCACACCAAGAAGGUGGCUGUGACAGCUCUCCAUGCAGGAGAACCUUCUGGAACAGCUUCCUUGGCUUCAGUGUUACCAAAGAGUUCCAGAGCAGGAUCUGGUGAUUCCUCAGAUAGCUCUUCAGCUCUUCUCAAAGAUAUGAAAGACAUUAGCAGGAGUCUUGAAUCAGUGAACAAAGUGGUAAAUGAAUCCAGUGCUGGUCCUAUCAUUAGCCAUAAAUCUGAGAUUACGGAAGACCUGGAAUACAUAAAGUCAGAGGAAUAUGAGAAUGGAGGUUCUGAUGUUAAGCCUGUGGAGAGUUCUGACGUCUUGCUGACGUUAGACGAAGGACGGGAGAGUUCACUGGGUCACUGCUCUGAAAACAAACUCUCUCUGAAGGAACUCUUAGAUGUAGCUGUGGAAAGUCUUCAUGAUACAGAAGAAAUCUUAGAACAGAGACAGUCAAAUAAAGAUGCUGUAAGUGGCCCAAGCAUAGAGGAGACUUCUCACAAACUCAGCAAAUUUGCAGAGGAAAAAGGUGAUCUGCUUUCUGAACAGCUCUUGAGUCAGAAAGAGCCAUCGUACCCUGAAGACUUUGAGGAAUCUUCUUCCAGAAAACAAGCUUCAGCUGAAGAAACACUGCCUGGGGAACGCUACAGAGAUGACUUUGAGGAUUCCCUGCUCUCUGCUAAUGGGAAGUCCCUGAGGGAGCAGUCCCAGCACACCCAGGCCAGCCGGAGCAGAUCCACCAGCCUGGGCAGCGAUGGUGAAAUCAGUGAGUGCCUCAGUGACAGGUCUCUCUCUGGCAGCAUGCACUCAGAGAGACUGCUGGAACUGAAGUCCCCAACAGAACUUAUGAAAAAUGCUGAACGCAGAGAUGUGGAGCAAGAACAGGCUCCUGCUUGUUCACCACUGUGGGCCUCAGCUUCAGUCACAGAAGAAGCAGAUAGUUUGGCCAAUUUCAACAUUGGAGACAGAGUACUUGUGAGUAAAGUCCAGCCUGGAACACUGCGCUUCAAAGGGCUUACUAAAUUUGCCAAAGGGUUUUGGGCUGGUGUGGAGUUGGAUAAACCUGAAGGGAACAACAAUGGAACUUAUGAUGAUAUUAAAUAUUUUGAUUGCAGAGAAAAGCAUGGUAUUUUUGCUCCUCCUCAGAAAAUCUCUCACAUUACAGAAAGUAUCGAUAGCCACUUAGACACAAAAAAGGAUGAUGAAGACUCAUUCUUUGAUGAUAGACUGGAGAAAAAACACAAAGCUGAGCAGAAAGAUAGAGAAAGUUCCAAACCUAGCAAAGAAGCUGAAAGCCAGAGCAGAAAUGCAACAGAGAAUUAUUCCCAGGAUAAAGCUCCUGUGGACACAGCUGCUUCAGAAGCCUCAGCUGAGGAAAGGGUUGAAGAGGAGUUGUCAUCUAAAGCAAACAGCAUAGAAGAAAUUUCUGUAGCUGCUGGUUCAUUUGCCCAAGAACAGUCAGUGGUGGAUUACCUGAAGGAUGCUGUAAAAGAGGAAGCCAGCCACACUCCUCUCACUUCCAGUGUUGUGGAUGAGAUUUCCACUGUUCAGUUGGAUGACAUGUCAGAUUUCCUUUCCGAAAAACUGGAGAGGCAGAAGACAUUGGGAGAGGAAUGUGCUGAAAAGUUAGAUGAUCUCUCUCCUGUUGUGGAGAAGCCUGCAACCCCACUGCUGGAUUUGCUGACAAAAGAAAAGAACCAGUUAGAAGCACAGCUCAGCCUGCCUCUUAGAGAGGAAGAAAAGUCAAAAGACCAGCUGGAAAAGGUCAGUUUGCUGACAGACAGUCUACUAAGAGAUUUUGUGAAAGACACAGUCAAUCAGUUACAGCAAAUAAAGAAGAUCAAAAAUGAGAAAAUCCAGCUCAGCAACCAGGAGCUCUGUGAUGUGAAGGAGGAAGCCACUACUCCACCCCAGCAGGUGGAAAAGCAGAUUCCAGACGGACUGAACAACUUCUUCCUAAGUUCUGAUUUGGAAGAUGACAGAGAAGAGCUUUCCUCUCCAGACAUGUGUCCCAGACCAGAGAGUCCUGUGUUUGGUGCCAGUGGCCAGGAGGAGCUUGCCAAGAGACUGGCAGAGCUGGAGCUCAACCGGGAGUUCCUGAGUGUGCUGGGAGAUGAUCAAGACUGGUUUGAUGAGGACUAUGGCCUGAGUUCCCGUAAGCUGCAGCAGAAGCAGGCUGAGGAGCCAGCAGUGCUGCCCCAGGCAGAGCCGCAGAAAGUGCCCACCAAGCCGAGUGAGGAGCCCCUGGCUGUCCCUCACACUGCCGUGGAGGUGGAAGGGAUGGUGCAUGCAGCAGCUGAGGAGCUCUGGAAACUAAAAGAGCUGGGUCACGAUCUUCAAAGCUGCAGCCUUAAAACAGAUCUUAGUGGUACCCUCCAAGAGCAGGACACAGACACCAUAAACAAGCAGGUUUAUAGAAAGGUGGUAUUUGAUUUAACAAGAGAGAUAUUUGGGGAAAUCUUUGCUGAGGACCCUAAUCUGAAUCAGCCCAUUUGGAUGAAACCGUGUAGGAUCGCAUCUGCUUAUUUUCGCCGAGUCAAAGAUCCAAAUGAUCUGGAUGAAAUCAAGAACUUCAUUGCAGCUGAAGUACUGAAGUUGUUCAGCCUGAGGAAAGAGCCUAACCACAAAACAGACUGGCAGAAGAUGAUGAAAUUUGGGCGGAAGAAACGAGACCGGGUGGAUCACAUACUGGUGCAGGAACUCCACGAGGAAGAAGCGCAGUGGGUGAACUACGACGAGGAUGAGCUGUGUGUCAAGAUGCAGUUGGCAGAUGGGAUCUUCGAGGCCUUAAUCAGAGACACUCUUGAUGUACUGAACCAGAUAAACGAGAAACAGCGGAGGCUGCUGCUUGUCUGACAGUGCUGAAGUGAGCUCAGAGCUGCCAACCACGGAGUCACAGGCCUCUCUGACUCCUGACCUGCUCUCCUCCCUGCACGCGCUGCGGCUGGACUUCCACGCGUGGGGUUCCCAGGCAGUUCAGAUGGGAUGAAAAGAACCUGAACUGGCUGCCAAGACCUCGCACCAGAUUUAUUGUUCGGAACAAGCUGAUCCCUCGCUUGAGGUUGCUUUGAGGAGUGCUCAAGACUGUUCAUGUGCCAAUGCAGUUAUGUCACAUAACUGUCAGCAGCUGCCCGGGGCCCCGGCUCGGGGCUUUGACAUGUUUGGCUUGUUCCCUGAAAGGGUUGGGUUAAGUUGGGGUAGUGGCUGUUUUGCUGGAAUGGUGGUCAGCCAUCAGUACUCAACUUGUCUUUAGAAAUGUGAGUAAUUUGGAGAAGCAACAGUUUGGUCAGGUUUUGGUCAUAAACAGAGACUUACCAUACUGAACAGUGUUAUAAUCUUAACACAUCUUCUCCUGCAGUCCUAACAAUGUGCAUCAGUUCCUUCUGCUUCAGAGCCUAUUUAAUUCACUUCUCCGUGAAGCUGGUUUUCAUCUUUCUUCUGUGAUGUGGUACUGAGCAUGGUGCCAGUCCAGUCCAGGGAAAUUAGAUCAUGUUUCUUCCUGCCUACAAGUAAAGAAUUCUUGCUGCUUUGCUCUGAGGCAGAGCAAGAUAAAGCCUGCCUAAUGUCAAGUGUGAAAGAUGAGCCCGUGGACAACUUUGCUCCUCCCGUGUAGCACUUCUCUUCCUGGAGCACCAGCUGCUCCCAGAUAAUGGAUACUCAGGAUUUUCUCAGGCACGAGACAUGCAGGAGUGGAAAACAUUUCCUCACAAAAAUUUGGCCUUCAAUCCCUCAGCUUUCUCCCUUACUGUCACCUAAUGAAAUUGGAGAAGCUGUUACUUGAACAAUUUAGAGAAUGGAGUGUAUUCACCAAAGAAAGCGGUGUCUGGUGCUUGACUGGUCUGCAUGUUUUGUGCUUGUGGGUUUUUUAUUUAUUUUCAGAUAAUUUAUUAAGUGGAUUACAGGAGAGUGUCCUGUGCAGUUGGCUGCACUGUCUUGUGUUUUGAGACAGACGAACUUGAGAGAGCAUCUGGCUUGGAAACUUCCAGAGCCCCGUAUUCUUCGCACAAAACCUCCAGCUUCAUGAGAGGGGGUGAAGAACCUUUUGAUACACAUUUGCAAAGCCGCCUUUUGGGAGGCUCAGUCUCCCCGUGUACUGUGUUGUGGAGAUGCUGAAAAGAAACCCAUUUACUGUGACAAGAGAAGAACCAAGUCACUUUAACACAUGAAAGGUCCUGGAGCUCUGUAAGAGGACAGCUGAGCACUUGCAGUGCCAAACCACAGAGCUACCUCAUCCUGGAGGAGGAUUUGCUGCAUUCAGGCUUCUGUUAUGGAAGAAGCUUUGCUGCAGUCCGGGUGUGCCACAGGGCUUGUCCUCAGUGGAGCUGGGGACACCAUCACAGCCCUCAGACAGACAGGAGGACGUCACAGCCCUCAGACAGAAGGACAUCACAGCCCUCAGACAGACAGAAGGACAUCACAGCCCUCUGAGCUCAGCAGUUGAACUGGCCAAACUCAGUGGUGGGUCCUUGGACGUCCAAAGGGCUGAGGCCAAGUGGUGCUGCAGCCUCUGUGUCCUCAUUAGUGAGCAGCAGAAGAGUAUCCGUGCCAUGCCUUUCCUUGCCCUGCAAUGAUUUUACUCCAUGAGUCCUGUUUUUUUGGACAAUUGUCUACUUGCAUCCAUCCCUGGAAGGGGCUCAGAGUACAUUUCAUGUUGGACAAAAAAACCUGAAUAAGAGGCUUCCUUUAAAAACGGCUCAAGCUGUGGGAGUGCUGCCAAGGUGCUCCGGCGGGUGACGCAGCAAAGUGCUGCAUUGCUCCUGCUGUCCUUGCCCAGGAUACCCAGCAAUCAGCGUGAUGAAGGCUCUCAUUUCCUCAUUUGCAAGUCUACGUUGCUUCACUUUGUCACUGACUUUCUACCCGUGGUGUUUGUGCAACUCUUCCCAGAAUCCUUGGAGCAUGGUUCCCUUCAACAGCUGUUUCACGUGUGGACCUGGUGAAACUUCUGGGUUGGGCAAUGGCCAGCAGCCACCUUCCUGAUGGCACCCUGGAUUGAGUGGGACUGUUUGGUGCCUCCCUUCCCAGGUACAGCCCCACUCCCAGGUGCCUCCCUGGGGAUGUGGUGCCAGCUGCAGCCAUCCCACGUGCUAAAAUGCCUGGCAGAGCACUGGAGUACUUGAAAUGUUGACUCUGCUCCAGGCGUGCUGUGCCCUGCCUAGCACAAGGGCUUCUGCAAUGUCCAGGCUCUCAUUAAGAAGAAAAGGAGUUGGUGGGGAGCUGCUGAACACCAGCAGCUCUUCAGAGUGCAGGAAGGAGAGGAGGGGGGCUGCCCAGCUGCUGGCACCCAGCCCAGAGCAUGGGCCAUUGCCUGGCAGGAAUGCAGAUGAGAUGCAAUGGAGUUUGAAAGUGUAGGGCACUCUCUGGGAUGUCAGUCUGUGGGAGAGAGAAAGGCACCCUGUGAGACCUGGAAACUGAAGCAAACAAAACCCCUAGCCCCAGCCCUGUACCUUCCUGCCUCCUCCUGAAUAAGGUCCUGCAGAAAUUUGGGGAAAAGGAGGAGAAUAGAGUAGCUCUGUUCAGGAGGGUGAUGGUUGGGCAGGUUCAGGGGCUUAGAGGAGACUCCUGGGGUACAAAUCCCUUCUUUUGCUUGCCAAGAGUUCUGAUGGCCUGGAGCAGGUGGUUAAUUCCUGCUCUGAAUGUUUCUCUUGGCCCCAGUUUUCCAGCCCUUUGCUCCACCUGUACAAGACCUGCUGUGUCCCUUGGGCUGCGUUCCCUCCCUGAUGUGGGUUUCCAGUGGCUUCCUCUUGCAGUCAGUCUAGGCUGACUCAAGCUCAGAUUUUGUCUGAGAAUUUGCUGGAGGUGGAAGUAACGCCACUUCUGGGGGGUGUCACAGCUAUGAUUUGAUUUUAUUCCAGCAAAAUAAAGGAGGCUGCAGGGGAUCCCACUGCUCACGUGGCUUGGCUUGGGGAGCCCAGCAAGGAGCCUGGUCCAGUGUCUGUGUCUGGCUGUGUUGCUCCAAGGACUGAUGGAGCCAGCACUGCUCAGUGUACCUGUGAUGGGGCACAGCAGUCCUUGGAAGGUGAGACCUUGCUUACGUUGCAGGACUACUGUCAGAACAAGAGAGGAGUGCUCCGUUGUCAUCCCUGUGGUAUUCUCAGUUUCGUGCGCUGCAAUUAAACCACCUGCCAAAUAAUGAUGUGGCAAAUCUGGGCGGUGUGGCCUCCUCCAAUCUGCUUCUUAAAGCUGGGAACAUGAGCUGGACUGGAAAAUAUCUGCUCUGUGCAGCCUGGGUCAUGGUAAUCAUUUAUGACUGUUAGUAGAUCUGAAAUUUGCAGGUAAAACGUUUCCUACCCAGACAUACCAAUGACAGUGCCAGUUCCUCCUGGUCUCCCUGGGUUCUUCUGAAAAGGGAAGGGCAGCAUAGCUGCUGUCCUUUGGAGCAGGGAUGAAUCAGAAGAGGUUGAAUAGCAGGAGGCUGGUACUGCUGUAUUCUCUCUGCAGAUGCAAACUAUGUGAACACAUUCGUCACAUCCUGAGAAUGCACCCCAGAUUUGCUUUUGUGCCUCUUGUUAUUACAGGCUGGUUGGGCUUGAAAGGUAGAAAUCAACGAUUUCCAACCAAGUCUGUCUCGUGGAGUCAGCAACUCCCAGCUGCCAGGGGGGCUUUGAGGGGCCAUCCUGGUCUGACAGGUGUCAGCCUGGCAGAGCCACUGCAGAGUGUGGGAAGCAGUCGGGAUUCACAUCCCCUCGGGUGUCUCAGCAAAGCUGGCAGGUUUGUGGCACAGGUGCUGCCAGAGGUCUUGUCUGAAGCCAUAUCUCAGCUGAGGUGUGACAUGUGCCACAAAGAAAAAAGUGCCACCUGGAUUGGAAUGUCAGGGAGGUGGCACAAUUUCCCUUGCUCUCUGAGGGAAGUGAGGGUUUUUCUUUAUUCACAGAAGGACCACGCUUUAAGCAGUGCUGUGCUGCAGAUCAAAGAGGACUUCCUUGAGUUCAUCAUCUUGUGAAGCCUGGAGAAAGGAAAACUGCUGAGCUUCCUCCAAGGUGCUUGCAGGGGAGUUGGAUGCUAACCUCUCUGAGCAGGCUCCAAAAUGCCAGUGACGGGGUUGCCGUGAUUGUAUCAUGAGUCUUGCAUUGGUUGCGUGUUUUCCUUGGAGUCAGUUCCUGGAAUCACACAAUUAGGUAGGAACGUGUUCUAUAAUUUUCAAGGAAGAAAGUCCAUUUUGGGAUCUCCCUGUGG